AUUGAAACACCAGUUUCCAUAUGAUCACCAAAGUUAAGCAACAUUGAACCUGGUCAGUACCUAGAUAGGUCACCAUUUGGGAAUACCAAAUGCUGUAAG